CCGUGACGGACUACACUUCCCAGAGGCCCCCGCGGGUGGGUCCCGCGAAGGCGGCCUGGGGGGUCGCUGCACCACGCUGGGGCGGCUGCGGUGGGGUCCGCCGUGUGGCGUUGGCACGCGUGUGUCCAUUAUCUCCAAUAAUAGACACUGAGCAUCUCUUCUGUGCUAGGGGCAUGUUGCUAGGGCGGAUUCAGCGGUAGAUGGGGAAGGAAAGACCCUACUCUCGGGGAGCUGGUGUGCACUGCUGCGGACGAGGCCAACAAUAAAACCGUAAACAUAUCCACAAGGGACUGCGCUGUGGCCGGGAAGGCCAAGGGCACCGAGAGGGGAGCGGCAGCCUCCUCUCCGGGGAAGCGCGGCCCUACCCUGCGGGCUCUGCGGCUCUGCGGCGGAGGUCAGGUGUCCUGGUAGGCUGAUGUCAUCCGGCCACAGGGCGAAGACCGCUGAGCGGCCAGUUUCCCCGAGACCAGUCCACACCUUUGAGGCUGUGCGGCCGGCGUGGCGCUAACCAGCCUCGCAGCCAACCAGGAGCGACAUUCUCCCCGCCCGCGCUCCGGUCUCCAUGACAACCGUCUCGGCGUCUGGUCCGGACUUGGAGAACCGAGGCUGAAAAGACCGCCUCACAGGUCCAGUUGAGGUCCUGCCCAGGAAGAUUGGCAGGGGCCCCCGGGUGCCCGAGGGGAGCUCCAAAGCCUCUUCACACCCCGCGACACGGGGGGCAGGAGUCCUCCCCGCUGUUGGGGAAGCCGGUGAUGCACUAUUCAGCGGGAUUCGCGCCAACCAGGGCAGAGGAGAAAAGGCCCGUCGUUAAUGCCAAAUGCCUUCCAUGUUACCUGCUCUAUCUUUAAUAUCCACCUGGAUUGGGCCUUCCUUCAAUUCCUCACUCGGCCCGCUGUGGGUUCAAGCCUUCUUCCUGGGGCCUACCCCACAACACAAGAAUAUCCAAGUUCCAGUUCAUAAAAUGUUCCACCUCCUGGUUCCCAUGAGAAUUCGUGAGAAAAAAAAGGGACCUGACGCAGGUAGCUCGCCCAGAUGCGACUCUGUUCAGCCAGAGAACCGGCGAUCUGGACCAACGGGCUUCGGGUCCCCAGUCUUCCACGCACUCUGAGGCCAGGAGCACGCGACUGAGACGCCGAGUGGAAGCUGCGUAGCUUCAGUCAUCCACUGCCAGAUUUGAGGCCGAGCUCCGGGUCAGACAGGAGGGGAAGCCAGUUCUCAGCGCCGGGUCCUCUCGCAUCAGACCUACACCCGCUACAGUUUGGAACGUCCAGACAUCAGUCCCCGGAGCGCUGGGCUCUAGCGCCACCUGCUGGCCACUGGGACCCUCUACUCUGGCAAAGUCCGCUGCCUGACAAUACGAACAUUAAUUUGACAGCUUCCAGACCUUUAUUGACCCUGCCGACUACCCUCACGUCAAGCUUGAAGCCUCUCACUUCUUGAAUACUUCUCACUUCGACAAAAUUUCACCUAACACUUAUGUGGCCCACGUUUUCUGAGCCCUACUGCCCCGAUUUCCUCACCAAACCUCCCUGGUGGUCUCCUGCUACCCUGGACUGAGCUGAAGUGACCCACAGACUCUUGCUCCAUCCCAGCUGCAUGGACUCAGGCUGGAUCCAAGUGGUGACACCUCAAGGGCAAUGUAGUCCCUGCAAAGGUCACAAAGGGCCAGGCGCCAAAAGACCUCACUUUAGCUUCUGGCUUAGCCAUCUUGCUCUCCCAGUCACUUGCCCCCUUGUUUAUCAAGUCUUUUGUUUCUCUGUGGAGCCCCAGGUGCAUGCUAGCAUCCCACCUUUGGCCUAGCACUGUGGCCUGGUCCCACCCUCUCCUCAUGGGCAUGGCGUAAUGAAAAAGUCUAUUCAAGGAAGGGCUUUCCCCCAGAUAGAUACCUCUGUUAUAUGAGACAAGGGUGUUCAAUGACUGGGAUGUGGUUAGUUGUGUAGGAAGACGGAUCCUGAGUCUUCAGGAUCCCCUGAGUGUGGGAAGACCAGGCACUCCAAGACGUGAAUGGCAUCUGAGGGCUUUCCCAGUCAAACACAGGGGACUCUGCUUAGAAACCAAGAAGUGGUUCUAAAAUGGUCCAAAGACAGGAUAUGGAAGGAGGGCAGAGAAAAGAUGAGGGAUUAGAAAUUAAAACAAGAUUGUUCUCACAUCAUA